AGCUUGCUUCUCUGGAUGAGUUGCGAACGGGUGAGUAACGCGUAGGUAACCUGCCUGGUAGCGGGGGAUAACUAUUGGAAACGAUAGCUAAUACCGCAUAAUAGCAGUUGUUGCAUGACAACUGUUUGAAAGGUGCAAUUGCAUCACUACCAGAUGGACCUGCGUUGUAUUAGCUAGUUGGUGGGGUAACGGCUCACCAAGGCGACGAUACAUAGCCGACCUGAGAGGGUGAUCGGCCACACUGGGACUGAGACACGGCCCAGACUCCUACGGGAGGCAGCAGUAGGGAAUCUUCGGCAAUGGACGGAAGUCUGACCGAGCAACGCCGCGUGAGUGAAGAAGGUUUUCGGAUCGUAAAACUCUGUUGUAAGAGAAGAACGAGUGUGAGAGUGGAAAGUUCACACUGUGACGGUAUCUUACCAGAAAGGGACGGCUAACUACGUGCCAGCAGCCGCGGUAAUACGUAGGUCCCGAGCGUUGUCCGGAUUUAUUGGGCGUAAAGCGAGCGCAGGCGGUUAGA
rnacentral:rRNA from 1 species